rnacentral:rRNA from 1 species
CCUACGGGUGGCAGCAGUCGAGAAUCAUUCACAAUGGGGGAAACCCUGAUGGUGCGACGCCGCGUGGGGGAAUGAAGGUCUUCGGAUUGUAAACCCCUGUCAUGUGGGAGCAAAUUAAAAAGAUAGUACCACAAGAGGAAGAGACGGCUAACUCUGUGCCAGCAGCCGCGGUAAUACAGAGGUCUCAAGCGUUGUUCGGAAUCACUGGGCGUAAGGCGUGCGUAGGCUGUUUCGUAAGUCGUGUGUGAAAGGCGCGGGCUCAACCCGCGGACGGCACAUGAUACUGCGAGACUAGAGUAAUGGAGGGGGAACCGGAAUUCUCGGUGUAGCAGUGAAAUGCGUAGAUAUGGAGAGGAACACUCGUGGCGAAGGCGGGUUCCUGGACAUUAACUGACGCUGAGGCACGAAGGCCAGGGGAGCGAAAGGGAUUAGAUACCCCAGUAGUC